GUGGGGAAUAUUGGACAAUGGGCGAAAGCCUGAUCCAGCAAUGCCGCGUGAGUGAAGAAGGCCUUAGGGUUGUAAAGCUCUUUUACCCGGGAAGAUAAUGACUGUACCGGGAGAAUAAGCUCCGGCUAACUCCGUGCCAGCAGCCGCGGUAAUACGGAGGGAGCUAGCGUUGUUCGGAAUCACUGGGCGUAAAGCGCACGUAGGCGGCUUUGUAAGUUAGAGGUGAAAGCCCGGGGCUCAACUCCGGAACUGCCUUUAAGACUGCAUCGCUUGAAUCUGGGAGAGGUAAGUGGAAUUCCGAGUGUAGAGGUGAAAUUCGUAGAUAUUCGGAAGAACACCAGUGGCGAAGGCGGCUUACUGGACCAGAAUUGACGCUGAGGUGCGAAAGCGUGGGGAGCAAACAGGAUUAGAAACCCCAGUAGUCC
rnacentral:rRNA from 1 species